rnacentral:rRNA from 1 species
GAUGAACGCUAGCGGCAGGCUUAACACAUGCAAGUCGAGGGGUAGAUGGUGCUUGCACCAUUGAGACCGGCGCACGGGUGCGUAACGCGUAUGCAAUCUGCCUUUCACAAAGGGAUAGCCCAGAGAAAUUUGGAUUAAUACCUUAUAGUAUAUUGAUGUGGCAUCACAUUAUUAUUAAAGAUUUAUCGGCGAAAGAUGAGCAUGCGUCCCAUUAGCUAGAUGGUAAGGUAACGGCUUACCAUGGCGACGAUGGGUAGGGGUCCUGAGAGGGAGAUCUCGCACACGGGUACUGAGACACGGACCAGACUCCGACGGGGGGCAGCAGUGAGUAAUAUUGGACAAUGGGCGCAAGCCUGAUCCAGCCAGGCCGCGUGCAGGAUGACGGUCCUAUGGAUUGUAAACUGCUUUUAUACGGGAAGAAACCCUGGCUCGUGAGCCAGACUGACGGUACCGUAAGAAUAAGGAUCGGCUAACUCCGUGCCAGCAGCCGCAGUAACAC